rnacentral:lncRNA from 1 species
CUUCCCGCCCCCGACACCCGCCGCCACACAAAGGCGCUGCGUCCUGGCGGCCAGCGGGGGCUUAGUCUAGGCCCGGCAGGGUUUUCUGGAAGACCAGAGGGCCACCAGGUCACCGAGGUGGGAAGUGAAGAGAGGUUCGACGCUGCCUCAGGCCUGGGCCUGGCCGGUGGGAGACACAGCAAGGACUCUGGGAGCCUGCAGAGCAGAGGCCGCCGCGGGGCCGGGCCCCCGUCUCCUCCUCAGGUCCAAGACCAGAGGGUCUGCAGGGCCCCAGAGCAGCUGGCCGCGCUCCGCUUCCCACCGCGCUCUCUGCUGGAACUCAUGUGCCUUUUUGAUGAGUACCCAGCAAUCCCACUUCUACGAAUGUCUAUCAGUGAAAUUCCAGCUUAGCUCUGUAGUGGCUUCAUAGAAUCCAGUCAUUGCAGCAAUUUCAGGCAGCAGAGAGUUGGGGCAACCUGCAUGUCCAUCACCAGAAUGAGUCUAGGGGUCAGAAAUCUGCAAUCAGUUUCGGUGGACCAAAAUGAAAAUGUCAAACAGGGUGUCUGACACCCUCCAGAAGCACCAGAGGAGAAGCAGCUUUCCUUGGCCUUCCCAGCCAAAUCUCCCUCUGCCUCUCUCCCCUGGUGACGACAAUGGCUGGGGUCUUGACUUGCCAAGAUCUGGAAACGGAGAAGGGACUGGAUCUCCAAACUUGGACUGCCUUGGACUGACCCUGGCCUGGAAGGUGUGGGCUCAGGACUCCGAGCUCAAGUCAGUCUGUUCCCCCAACCCCUAACCCACUGCAUCCGGGUGAGGAGUUGGGCCCGAGCGCCACAGCGCAGAUAGGGUUGUUAGGAGCGAAAGACUGGAGACCCAGGGACUGUGGGGCUGGGCUGGUGGGGCCACUGCUACCGACUAAGCAGUACGGGCCGCCUGGAAGACCGAAGGCGGAGUUCGCUGAUGCGGAAGCCAAGGCACAGGGCAAUAAGGAUCCGCGCCAUUUCUUGUGAUGUCACCUGAAGCCUUGGCGGGUAGCUGCCUCUCAUCCAUUCGGAGGACAGGGCUCCAGCCACCGGCAGCUCUGAAAGAGUUUGAAGAAUUUAUUGUUCACAGAUGGUAUUUAAAUGGACUUAUUUCUAAAAGUCACAUUCCUUUAUUACUUAUUUGUUAUUAGAAGUACCCAUUUUCAUAUGUGUUUAAAACUAUUUGUGUCUCAAAUUCUCAGGAGAUUGAUGCAUCCCAGUUUACUCUUUUUGGCAUAUGUUUUUACUCAUAAAUUAGGUUAAAUUUCAUACUUGUUUUAUAAAAUUUAGUUAUUUGGUUACAUUAAAAUAUUUGUAUCCAGAUAAGAAGUCUCUUCCUUCUCCUAUGCUUUUUUUGGAAUUUAGAGCAUAUCUGAAAUAAAAUUAAUUUACUUUUUAUUACUAA